GAUUUGUGUACUUCAUCCAUUAUAUUAAUCAGUAUAUUUUUAUUUUUUUUUUGAAAUUUUAAUUCAAAUUUUACGUGCUUGUAAAUCAAGUGUUAGUACUUAGCAUUGCAAUUAUAAUUUACAAUUCAGUCCCACUUACACUGUUGUUAUCAGUUGUCAUCUUUUUAUGUGUAAAAUAAAUUAUAAAGUUCUUUCUCACAAGAAGGUUACAUGUAAUAUGUUAUUCCUUUUUCUCCCUCUGUGCAAUACAUUAUGGAGCGCGAGAACUUGUCGUGCAAUCUGACAUUGUUUCAGAUUAUGCAAUGCACUUUUUUGUGCAUACCGCAAUAGUACAUGUACUUUCUUUUAUCAUCUCUUGUUUCUAUAUUGGUUUUAUGUUGUGGUUAUCAGUUCAUAGAAAAUGGCUUAUGGUGAUGAUAUUCAACCCCUUGUUUGUCACAAUGGAACUGGAAUGGUGAAGGCUGGUUUUGCCAGUGAUGAUGCUCUUGCAGAUUCUUGAUAAACCUUUCUCUAUUUCCAUUGCCAAAAUCCAACAAUAUGCUUAGAUUGCCAUGGAGGAUGUUGAAAUUGAUGAAGAAGUUGAUGUUAUAGUUUCAGAAUGGAUGGGUUACAUGCUUCUCUAUGAGGUAAAGGCAAAGGCUGAGGCAGGAGGCCAUUGAGAAGGUGAUAGAAAUAGCUGCCACUGUGCACCAUUUAUUUGAGAAGGUGAAGGCUCGUUUGGAAGAAGCUGAAGCGAAGUGGAAUGAUGAGAAAUCUGCUUAUAUCAUAAUGCUAGGAGCUCGUUUCAGUGCAUAUUGUAUAUGUUGUUGCUCAAAGGGGAAACAAACCAACUAGCAACAGCCAGUUCUACUCCAACCGCAGAACUUUAUCCCAUUUCGCACACUUUGCCAAGAUAUAAAAUGCUUGGAAGUUUUACAGGAUCCAACUAGUUAAGGUAAUUUCAGUGUUGAUGGUACAAACUCGA